GAGCGAGCACGCGCCUGCGCAGUCUCUGCUCGGCGCAACGUACCCGGCUCCGCCCACUCCGGCCUCCUCACCGCCGACUGCGCUGUUUCCAGGGCUUCAGACGGAGGAGGGGGGAGUGCGCGCACAGCGGGGCCACUGAGUUUUGCGCAUGUGCACAAUGUGGACUGUCAGAGAGACGCGGAAAGGGUUCCCCUGCACCAACCCCCGCUCUUACAGAAGGAAUUUUCAUUAUAGACCCACUGACAGAUAUCAAGCGCAGAAGAACAAGGAUGUUUAUGUCAAAUAUGUAAAGCUAAGUGGAAAAUCCAUUUACUUCUAUGUGUUUAAAAAAGUAAGACUUUGCAACUUAUAUAUGCAUAAAACCGAGGAAGUCUUUUUUUUUUUUUUUUUUUUUGUGGAUCAGAGAGAUGGCUUGGCCAGUAAAGGCCACACCAUCCUGAUAACUAUAAUUCGAUCCCGAAAUCCACGAAGGAUUAUAUAUAUGUUUGUGUGUGUGUGUGUGUGUGUGUGUGUGUGUGUGUGUGUGUGUGUGACUUUUCCUCUUAGAUAUUGAAUCUGGCCCCUUGUCUGCUCCUCACUAAUGCAAAUGCAGGUGCUACACUGUUGGAUUUCAUAGACCUUAAGACCAUGAGCCAACAUAAACCUCUUUAUUCUAUGUUCUGUUAUGACAGAAUAGGCUAAGACUGAAGACUGGAAACUGGUAUCAAUGGAGAAACAGAGGGUUGUUUUUUUUUCCUAUCAAAGAAAGUUUUGUUCUAACAUGUAGUUAGCGCAGCAAGGACUCCCUGUUUUCAGAACCAUCCUCUUUGUGCCAAUUCCCCAAUAGCCUCAGAUUGUGAAGCUCAACCCCUGACAGCAGGAUGAGGUGUCACCUACUGAUGUCACCACCAAUUUCAGAGAUAAAAGACAGAAACGCCCCCAGCCACGUGUGUUUGCUAGCCUGUUUUGGGUUCUGGUGCAGCCUUUUUGCACAAAGAAUGAUCUUAUGCUUUCUAUAAGACUAACGUGAGAAUUUUAAAAGGCAUACAAUUUAAACAAUGUGUAUGUGGGUAAUAUUCACUUAUUAUAUUAUGUAUGGAGUUUGGAUUCAGGCUUCUUUUGUUGAGAUGCUGUUAUACAGCACUAUCUGUAAGUCAGUCAGCUGUCAUCAUCCUAAGAUGAGCCGUGUCUGCUUGUGGAAGGUCAUGACUGAGAUCCUUGGUUAUUGGCAAUCCUUAGGAGAAGAUAAGAGGGCCACAUACAGCCACACCUCCCAGACGAAUUAGUCUCCAAGUAAAGUUGGGUGAAAUCAAAUGUUAAUUUGUCACUGGGAUCUUAUAAGGAGAAAAUAAACAUUGCUUUGUCCUCUCUUCCA
rnacentral:lncRNA from 1 species